rnacentral:rRNA from 1 species
GAUGAACGCUGGCGGCGUGCCUAAUACAUGCAAGUCGAGCGAACAGAUGAGGAGCUUGCUCCUCUGACGUUAGCGGCGGACGGGUGAGUAACACGUGGAUAACCUACCUAUAAGACUGGGAUAACUUCGGGAAACCGGAGCUAAUACCGGAUAAUAUAUUGAACCGCAUGGUUCAAUAGUGAAAGACGGUUUUGCUGUCACUUAUAGAUGGAUCCGCGCCGCAUUAGCUAGUUGGUAAGGUAACGGCUUACCAAGGCAACGAUGCGUAGCCGACCUGAGAGGGGGAUAGGCCACACUGGAACUGAGACACGGUCCAGACUCCUACGGGAGGCAGCAGUCGGGAAUCUUACGCAAUGGGCGAAAGCCUGACGGAGCAACGCCGCGUGAGUGAUGAAGGUCUUCGGAUCGUAAUACUCUGUUAUUAGGGAAGAACAAAUGUGUAAGUAACUAUGCACGUCUUGACGGUACCUAAUCAGAAAGCCACGGCUAACUACGUG